AGCAGUAGCCGCGGUAAUACAGAGGGUGCAAGCGUUAAUCGGAUUUACUGGGCGUAAAGGGCGCGUAGGUGGUUAUUUAAGUGAGAUGUGAAAGCCCCGGGCUUAACCUGGGAACUGCAUCUUAUACUGGGUAACUGGAGUGCAGUAGAGGGUAGUGGAAUUUCCGGUGUAGCGGUGAAAUGCGUAGAUAUCGGAAGGAACACCAGUGGCGAAGGCGGCUACCUGGACUGAGACUGACACUGAGGCGCGAGAGCGUGGGGAGCAAACAGGAUUAGAUACCCGCGUAGUCCCUGUCUCUUAUAC
rnacentral:rRNA from 1 species